GACGAACGCUGGCGGCGCGCUUCACACAUGCAAGUCGAACGAGAAGCCCGGGCUUGCCCGGGUGGAAAGUGGCGAACGGGUGAGUAACACGUGAGCAACCUGCCCCGAAGACCGGGAUAACACCGGGAAACCGGUGCUAAUACCGGAUGUCCUCGCCGAACCGCAUGAUUCGGCGAGGAAAUGGUCAGCCGCUUCGGGAUGGGCUCGCGGCCUAUCAGCUUGUUGGUGGGGUCACGGCCCACCAAGGCGACGACGGGUAGCGGGCCGGAGAGGAUGUCCGGCCACACGUGGCCUGAGACACGGCCCAGACUCCUACGGGGGGCAGCAGUGGGGAAUCUUGCGCAAUGGGCGAAAGCCUGACGCAGCGACGCCGCGUGCGGGAUGAAGGCCUUCGGGUUGUAAACCGCUUUCAGCAGGGACGAAAUUGACGGUACCUGUAGAAGAAGCCCCGGCCAACUACGUGCCAGCCGCCGCCGUAAUAC
rnacentral:rRNA from 1 species